AUGUACGCCUCAGUACACUGCGGUUCCUGCGGCGCCCCCCGCACCCGCUGGACGUCCGCUCGCUACGUUUUGCCCGCA
rnacentral:sRNA from 1 species